rnacentral:sRNA from 1 species
GUCAAUAACCCGCGACUAAAGUCGCAGGCUAGUAAUAGCCUUGAUUGACUAGCCUAAGUCUUUACUGACUACGUUGUUUGUGUCAUGACACCAUAGAAUGCUUACUCUAGUUCUAUGCAACUG